rnacentral:rRNA from 1 species
GACGAACGCUGGCGGCGUGCUUAACACAUGCAAGUCGAACGGAAAGGCCCUGCUUUUGUGGGGUGCUCGAGUGGCGAACGGGUGAGUAACACGUGAGUAACCUGCCCUUGACUUUGGGAUAACUUCAGGAAACUGGGGCUAAUACCGGAUAGGAGCUCCUGCUGCAUGGUGGGGGUUGGAAAGUUUCGGCGGUUGGGGAUGGACUCGCGGCUUAUCAGCUUGUUGGUGGGGUAGUGGCUUACCAAGGCUUUGACGGGUAGCCGGCCUGAGAGGGUGACCGGCCACAUUGGGACUGAGAUACGGCCCAGACUCCUACGGGAGGCAGAAGUGGAGAAUAUUGCACAAUGGGCGGAAGCCUGAUGCAGCAACGCCGCGUGCGGGAUGACGGCCUUCGGGUUGUAAACCGCUUUCGCCUGUGACGAAGCGUGAGUGACGGUAAUGGGUAAAGAAGCACCGGCUAACUACGUG